rnacentral:rRNA from 1 species
CAGCCGCCGCGGGAAAACGGAGGGGGCUAGCGUUGUUCGGAAUUACUGGGCGUAAAGCGCACGUAGGCGGCUUGGUAAGUUAGAGGUGAAAGCCCGGAGCUCAACUCCGGAAUUGCCUUUAAGACUGCCGAGCUAGCAGGUGAGAGAGGUAAGUGGAAUUCCGAGUGUAGAGGUGAAAUUCGUAGAUAUUCGGAAGAACACCAGUGGCGAAGGCGGCUUACUGGCCCAUACUGGACGCUGAGGUGCGAAAGCGUGGGGAGCAAACAGGAUUAGAUACCCGAGUAGUCCCUGUCUCUUAUAC